rnacentral:rRNA from 1 species
GAUGAACGCUGGCGGCGUGCCUAAUACAUGCAAGUCGAGCGAACAGACGAGGAGCUUGCUCCUCUGACGUUAGCGGCGGACGGGUGAGUAACACGUGGAUAACCUACCUAUAAGACUGGGAUAACUUCGGGAAACCGGAGCUAAUACCGGAUAAUAUAUUGAACCGCAUGGUUCAAUAGUGAAAGACGGUUUUGCUGUCACUUAUAGAUGGAUCCGCGCCGCAUUAGCUAGUUGGUAAGGUAACGGCUUACCAAGGCAACGAUGCGUAGCCGACCUGAGAGGGGGAUGGGCCACACUGGAACUGAGAACCGGUCCAGCCCCCUACGGGAGGCAGCAGUAGGGAAUCUUCCGAAAGGGGGGAAAGCCGGACGGAGCAACGCCGCGGGAGGGAUGAAGGUCUUCGGAUCGUAAAACUCUUUUAUUAGGGAAGAAAAAAUGUGUAAGUAACUAUGCACGUCUUGACGGUACCUAAUCAGAAAGCCCCGGCUAACUACGU